rnacentral:rRNA from 1 species
GUAGGGAAUAUUGGGCAAUGGAUGCAACUCUGACCCAGCCAUGCCGCGUGAAGGAUGACGGCCCUCGUGGUUGUAAACUUCUUUUGUACGGGAAUAACCCUCCGAACGUGUUCGGAGCUGAAGGUACCGUAAGAAUAAGGAUCGGCUAACUCCGUGCCAGCAGCCGCGGUAAUACGGAGGAUCCAAGCGUUAUCCGGAUUUACUGGGUUUAAAGGGUGCGUAGGCGGAUUGAUAAGUCAGUGGUGAAAGCCUACAGCUUAACUGUAGAACUGCCAUUGAUACUGCCAGUCUGGAGUAUGGUUGAGGUAGCUGGAAUGUGUCAUGUAGCGGUGAAAUGCUUAGAGAUGACACAGAACACCAACGGCGAAGGCAGGUUACCAACCCAUUACUGACGCUGAGGCAUGAAAGCGUGGGGAUCAAACAGGAUUAGAAACCCCGGUAGUCC